CAUCGUAACAGCUUGGCUUCGUUUGCCCUUUAUUUUAUCUUAACACAGUAUAGUGUGUUAACAUAAAAUAAAGGGCAAACGAAGCCAAGCUGUUACGAUG